UAAGACGUAGGAGGCGAGCGUUAUCCGGAUUCAUUGGGCGUAAAGGGCAAGUAGGCGGUGCCCAAAGUUGGGCGUGACAUCUCCCGGCUCAACUGGGAGGGUGCGUUCAAAACUAGGGGACUAGAGGGCAGGAGAGGGAAGUGGAAUUCCCAGUGUAGCGGUGGAAUGCUCAGAUAUUGGGAAGAACACCAGUGGCGAAGGCGGCUUCCUGGCCUGCACCUGACGCUGAGAGGCGAAAGCUAGGGUAGCAAACGGG
rnacentral:rRNA from 1 species